UUUCAGCAAUUUAUCGAAAUUUGGGUUCUAAGAUAGAGAUGUGCGGGCCGCCCGAAAUUCACCUACCCGACCCGGCCCAGCCCGGCCCGACCGGGCUUGGGUCCGGGUUUCAAAAAUUAGUCGGGCUCGGGCGGGCUCGGGUUUCAAAAACAAAGGUUCGGGCUGGCCCGACUUUCUUCGACUUUCAAAAAAAUGUGAAAACUUAAACAAAAAUUUAAAGAAAAAUUGCAAUACAGUCCGAGCGUAAGCUUACUUUCAAGUGUUCUAUAGAUUUGUGAAACUAAAUUAUUAGAGAGUUUGCACAAAUUACGUAUAACUUAUAAGUAAACUUAUAAAUCAGAAUCAGAAUAAGUCAGCUAUAAGUUAUAAGUCUUGGUCUUAUAAGUAAACCAUCUAUAAAGUGAAAGUUAUAAGUUCAGACGGUUAUAUAGGUCAAAAGUAUGAAGUCGAAACUUAUAGAGAUAAGAAGACAGUGGAUCAUAUAGAGCAAUUAAACUUUAGGAACCAGCCUACAACGACGUCAACAAUCCCAAAAAUAAAGAAGUCAACUCACAAAAUCAUGUAAAAUCCAUCAAAAUGUUGAAGUUCUUGGGCUGACAAGAGCUUACGUAAAAAAUCUGAGACAUACCAUCGAAAAUGAUGGUCCUGACUCUGUUGGCAGUUACAGCUCUUCAGGAUGAAGAGCUAUCAAAGCUUCGGAAGUUUGGUCGGCAAGUUUAUCCCUAAAGUCAGAAGAAUUACACUGAGCAAA